rnacentral:tRNA from 1 species
UUAGAAGGACAGGACUCGAACCCGUACCUAGAAGCUCAAAACCUCCAGCACUCCAUUAUACUACCCUCUA